UUGUUGGUAAGGUAAAGGCUUACCAAGGCUUCGAUCAGUAGCUGGUCUGAGAGGACGGCCAGCCACACUGGGACUGAGACACGGCCCAGACUCCUACGGGAGGCAGCAGUGGGGAAUUUUGGAUAAUGGGGGAAACCCUGAUCCAGCCAUGCCGCGUGAGUGAAGAAGGCCUUCGGGUUGUAAAGCUCUUUCAGCCGGAACGAAACGGUUACGGAUAAUACCCGUGACUACUGACGGUACCGGAAGAAGAAGCACCGGCUAACUACGUGCCAGCAGCCGCGGUAAUACGUAGGGUGCGAGCGUUAAUCGGAAUUACUGGGCGUAAAGCGUGCGCAGGUGGUUUUGUAAGUCAGAUGUGAAAGCCCCGGGCUCAACCUGGGAACUGCGUUUGAAACUACAAGACUAGAGUGUGGCAGAGGGGGGUGGAAUUCCGCGUGUAGCAGUGAAAUGCGUAGAGAUGUGGAGGAACACCGAUGGCGAAGGCAGCCCCCUGGGUUAACACUGACACUCAGGCACGAAAGCAUGGGGAGCAAACAGGAUUAGAUACCCUGGUAGUCCAUGCCCUAAACGAUGUCAACUAGUUGUCGGGCCUUUACGGGCUUGGUAACGUAGCUAACGCGUGAAGUUGACCGCCUGGGGAGUACGAUCGCAAGAUUAAAACUCAAAUGAAUUGACGGGGACCCGCACAAGCGGUGGAUUAUGUGGAUUAAUUCGAUGCAACGCGAAAAACCUUACCUACCCUUGACAUGUAUCGAAACCCGCAGAAAAGCGGGGGUGCCCGAAAGGGAACGAUAACACAGGUGCUGCAUGGCUGUCGUCAGCUCGUGUCGUGAGAUGUUGGGUUAAGUCCCGCAACGAGCGCAACCCUUGUCAUUAAUUGCCAUCAUUUAGUUGGGCACUUUAAUGAGACUGCCGG
rnacentral:rRNA from 1 species